rnacentral:rRNA from 1 species
GUAAUCCUACGGGGGGCAGCAGUGGGGAAUAUUGCACAAUGGGGGAAACCCUGAUGCAGCAACGCCGCGUGAGUGAAGAAGUCAUUCGUGAUGUAAAGCUCUAUCAGCAGGGAAGAAAUGACGGUACCUGACUAAGAAGCCCCGGCUAACUACGUGCCAGCAGCCGCGGGAAUACGUAGGGGGCAAGCGUUAUCCGGAUUUACUGGGUGUAAAGGGAGCGUAGACGGCGAUGCAAGUCUGAAGUGACAAGCGGUGGCCCAACCCCCGGACUGCUUUG